ensembl:lncRNA
UCGGGGUGAUUUGGGAAAGGGGAAAUGAAUUAAAGAGAAAAAAAAAAAAAAAAAUUAAAACACUGGGUAGAUGUUAUCAUUAUAGGGUGCACAGCAAAUUAUCCAGUGUUGAAAUCCUAGUGUUGAGGACUUUUAGAGUAAAGUGUUAAAGUUGUGGUGUUGAAUUUUAAAGGAUUAACACUAGCUAGUGUAAACAGCCCCCUCUGGCCUACGCAGAGUUACCUUUAUUAACACUGUUGAGUGUUAAUAGUCACAUCCGGGACAUUUGCUCGUGUGCGCGCCUGACCCAUCUGAAAUAUUUUUUCACAGACGCCAUUUUCUUUGCUCGCGAUGCGGCUCAUAUGAGAACGGAAUUCGGCGAAAUAAAUUGUAUAAUCUUACUCAUAAGAUGUGUUUUGUAAUAUCAUAUCGUUUUAUAACGACAUUUAUUUGCUGUGUGCACAAACGUUUCUCAAGGACAUUUCCUUUCACUCACGAUGCGGAACAUACGAGGACGUCAUUUACUCCAAAACUUUUUUCUCAAGAGAGAUAUUUUCUUCCACUCACGAUGGGGAAAAUAUGGGGAAUCUGUUUCUUAUCAAAGGAAAACACCAUAAGUAAGUGUUUUACCUCGUUAACAUGUAUUUUAUAAGAUGAUAUUUCUUAAUGGUGAUAUUUAAAUGCUGUGCGCGCCUGAACGCGCCUAACCGUCUCUCACAGAUUUGAAUUGCUAUGCAGUGCAGACCGUGAUGCAGACGCGGGUUACUUAGAGAAGGGAGAGACCAGAAGUAAGCGUUUUACCUCAUUUAAAAUAUCUAUUUUAUAACAUCAUAUUGAUUUAUACCGACAUUAUGUUGUGGGCUCCUACACUUUCCUCAGAGAGAUAUUUUCUUUCACUCGCGAAGCGGAGCAGACGAGGAAGUUGGUUUUAACAAGGAAAACACCGAAAGUAAGUGUUUGAAUUCAUUUACUAUAUGUAUUAAACAAAAUAAUAUUAUUUAGUAAUGAUAUUUGUAUGCUGUGCGUGCCUAGACAAUCUGAAACAUUUCUCACAAAUUAAAUUUGAUGUCAAAUCAAACCACUGUAAACGGCACAAAUCUAAAAUAGCAAUAUCAGUAACGUUAACUGUUUCUUGCAUGUCUCGUGAACAAAUUUAGCCAUUAUAAGCCAUUUAGCCAUUUAAGCAUCAAUUUAAAGAGUUUUCAUAAUGUUGAUGUGUCAAUAUAUUGGAUUUGAGUUAUUUUUCCAUACAUAUGUAUGUAUGUGUAUGUUUCAUAUUUCAUACAUUUUCUUAUUUAUUCAUUUGUAUAUAUUUGAAAAUAGCUUUUCAGUAUACUCAAACUAUCUAUACUGCAUGAGUUAAAUUGUUCACCAUUCAAAGUGAAUGUGUGCCCUCACAAGACUUGGAAUAUCCUUAGAGGGGUGCAACUGGAGCGGUCGCACCGGGCCCCGCACUUGAGGGGUAAACGGACUGAAUGAGCCCCCCCUCCGCCAACCUGGGAACGCUCCAUACUUCACACCGGGCCCCGAAUCAGCUAAGUACGGCCCUGCAUUCAUGGUUGAUGGUUAUGAAUAAGGGUGCUGUGGUUUAAGCAGAUAAAUGUUAGCACUAUAAUCCUGAUUAAAUUGAGAAUAUAUAUGAAUAUAUAUGGACCAAAUUUGUGCCUUUGCACUGAUUUGCUUUGACAUUGUUUUAAUUGUUGUAAAGAAUGUUCUUUAUAUGUAUUGAAAACACUGAAUGUGAAGACAUUUUGGUGCAGGGAAAAAGUUUCAAUUAAAAUAAAUAAAUGUGUAAACAUGCA